rnacentral:lncRNA from 1 species
UUUGCAAGCUCUUGUUGGCAUCCACAAUAGUGUCUGGUAUUGGUGGUAGUUUAUGGGAUGGAUCCCCAGGUGGAACACUUUCUGGUUGAUCAUUCCUUCAGUCUCUACUCUGAAUUUUGUCUUUGCAACUCCUUCCAUGGGUAUUUUCCUCAGUCUUCUAAGAAGGAUAGAAGUAUCCAUACUUUGGUCUUCCUUUUGAAUUUCAUGUUUUGCAAACUCUAUCUUGGAUAUUCUGAGCUUCUGGGCUAACAUCAACUUAUCAGUGAGUACAUACACUGUGUACUUUUUUUGUGAUCAGGUUACCUCACUCAGGAUGAUGUUUUCUAGUUCCAUACAUUUACCAAAGAACUUCAUGAAUUCAUCAUUUUUAAUAGUUGAGUAGUACUCCAUUAUGUAAAUGUACCACAUUUUCUGUAUCCAUUCCUCUGUUGAGAGACAUCUGGGUUGUUCUCAGCUUCUGGCUAUUAUAAAUAUGGAUGCUAUGAACAUAGUGGAACAUGUAUCCUUAUUUCAUGUUGGAGCAUAUAUGCCCAGGAAUGAUAUAGCUGGGUCCUCAGGUAGUACUAUGUCCAAUUUUCUUUGGAACCCCCAGACUGAUUUUCACAGUGGUUGUAUCAGCUUGCAAACCCACCAGCAAUGGAGGAGUGUUCCUCUUUCUCCACAUCCUUGCCAGAAUCUGCUGUCACCUAAAUUGUUGAACUUAGCCAUUCUGACUUGUAUGAAGUGGAAGCUCAGGUUAAUUUGAUUUGCAUUUCCCUGAUGACUAAGGAUGUUGAAGAUUUCUUUAGGUGCUUCUUAGCCAUUUGAAUUUGCUCAGUGAGAAUUCUGUUUAGCUCUGUUCCCCAUUUUUAAUAGGGUUAUUUGGUUCUCUGGAGUCAAACUUCUUGAGUUCUUUGUAUAUAUUGACUAUUUUCCCUUUAUCAAAUUAAAGAUUGGUAAAGAUCUUUGCCCAGUUUAAUCAUUGCCAUUUUGUCCUACUAAGAGUGACCUUUGUCUCACAAAAACUUUGCAAUUUUAUGAAGUCCUAGUUGUCUAUUGUUGAUCUUAGAACAGAAUUCAUUCUUUUUCUGUUCAGGAACUUUCCCCCUGUGCUCAAGUGUUCUAGGCUAUUCCCCACUUUCUCUUCUAUUAGAUUCAGUGUAUCUGGUUUUAUGUGGAGGUCCAAGAACCAUAUGAACUUAAGCUUUGUACAAAGGGAUAAGAAUGGAAAAUGUUUUCAUUUUUCACACAUUCUGUGUGUGUGUGCCUGUGGUGCAUUUAUGAAGGAAAAUAUGUGACCAGCACAUGUGUAGAAGUCAAAGAACAACUUUAUACAAUUUAUUCUUUUCCUCUACGUUAUUUUACUUUUCUUUUUUUUUCUUUUUUGAGAUUAUUAUUUAAUUACAACACUUCUCCAUUACUUUUCCUUCCUUCAAAUAUGUGUGUGUGUAUGUGUGUAUAUAUAUUCCUGUCAACUCGGUUUCAAAUUCACUGGCUAUUUAUUUUAUGUUACUUUGUAUUAAUUUUUAUUGCAUGCCUAUGUAUGUAUAUAUCUACAUGCAUAAUGAUAAAUAUAUGCUACCUCUAUAUAUGACUUUAGGCCUGAGAGUUUGUCAUUCAGCAACAUUUUGGUAACAUCUUCCCUGGUGAACAUUACCUCUUCAAUUUCUAUCUUGUAUAAAGUUCUUCAUGUAAGUUUUUAGCUACAGGGGCUUGCUGCCAACCUCUGUUUACCGGUGCCAUAACUGUCCAGGUUAUGUUUGAGCACUCAUGCCAGUGUAGCUUUAUUCACUUCUUUUCUGGUAUAACUAGGAGAUACGGUCUCUCAACAAACUUUAUGAUCUCUGGCUCUUUCAAUCUUCCUCAUCCCCUGCCCUUUUCUACAAUGUUUCCUGGGCAUUAGGAUGUUAUCAUGGCCAAGCCGACAUAAAGAAAGAAGAGUGUCCUUGGACUUACAUUCUCAGAAAGCUAGAGUCCAUGACCAUUCAGGGAACAUGGAGAAUGGCAACAAUCAGUAGGAACGACACUCAAAGUUUACAUGUUCAUCCCCAAUUACAAUGUAGAGAGAGAUAAAUGGAAAUGGUACUGGCCUUUUAAACCUCAAGGUCCACACUCACAUAUACACACAUAUACACCUACACUAACAAGGAUAAACCCUCAUAAAGAGAGCCAACUGGAGACCAACUAUUCAAAUCUAUUGAAACCAUGGGCUGCAUUCUCAUUCAAAACAUCCAGACCACAUGAUCUUUCUCCCAUUCUGUGUAUUAUGUGUAUUGAUAUUGUUAUUGUUCUAUUCAUACAGCUCUGUCUAUGAAAGGCAGUCAGUCACACAGUGCAGCUUUUAACUAUAUUCAAAAUCUUAUCUUCAUAUGUACAGAAUUACGCAGGUACUAUCAUGCUCUAUCAAAGAAGCUUCUCUCUACAGAACUGGAGACUUUUACACACACACACACACACACACACACACACACACACACACACACACACACACACAAAGUACUGGAUCUGGGUGUACAACACAAAUAUCAAUAGACUGUGAGACACCCAGAUCCAGUACUUGUAGAUGCAGCAUAUCUCCCACAUUUAUGGCUCAUGGAAGACUAAAGAACUGGGUGAGAAAAUUUAUAAGAACCUUAUUUCAUAUUAAUCAUGACCCUCUGUCCUAACUUUAAGCUAAAGGUUUAAGAAAGGGCUAUACUAUUUCACAGGCUUCGUUCAGUUAACUUGCUAGUUUCAAUGUUAUUGGGAUAAUUUUUCAAAUUCAAAUUUUAAAUUAAAUUCCACCACACUUUCUAUACAUAAACCUAACAGAUAUUUUUGUCUAGUUAUGUAACUUAAAAUUAAACCAAAAUUUUACUUAAUGGUUAUGAGUGUGACUACUGAGUAUGAAGAAAAACUAUAACUGCUUUUACUGUUUUCAUAGAUGAAACAUUCAAAAAAAGUUCUUUAUUUAAUCUCAAUUAAUCUGGAAUUCCAUGACAUCUAAAACACUGGAACACCAAACAGACAGUGUACGCCAGCUGAUAUGAGGCCCCCAACACACAUACAGUAGAGGACUUCCGGAUCUAUGUUCAUUCAGUGAUGAUGCACCUAACCCUCAAGAGACUGGAGGCCCUAGGGAGUUUAGAGGCACUUGGAGCAGCACCUGAUGUUUGGCCAUGGAUCUCUGCAUUGGUUCCCAUCAGAUGCUGGAUGGAGCUUCUGUAAUGACAUUGGGCUGGGUUCUGAUCUAUGCUUUGUUUCAUCCAAAUCAGAGGACUAGUCUUAUUGUAUCUUGUUAUGCUAUGUUUGGCCCAUAUCCCUGGAAGCCCUACUCUUUCCUUAAAGGUAAAAGAAGGUAUGGAUCUGGAAAAGGGAGGGGGAAUGGAGAGAUGGGAAACUGUAGUUGUGAUGUAAUAUAUGAGGGUAGAAUAUUUUUUUAAUAAAAUAAAAAAAACUG